rnacentral:rRNA from 1 species
AGUGAACGCUGGCGGUAGGCCUAACACAUGCAAGUCGAACGGCAGCACAGUAAGAGCUUGCUCUUACGGGUGGCGAGUGGCGGACGGGUGAGGAAUACAUCGGAAUCUACUUUUUCGUGGGGGAUAACGUAGGGAAACUUACGCUAAUACCGCAUACGACCUACGUGUGAAAGCAGGGGAUCUUCGGACCUUGCGCGAUUGAAUGAGCCGAUGUCGGAUUAGCUAGUUGGCGGGGUAAAGGCCCACCAAGGCGACGAUCCGUAUCUGGUCUGAGAGGAUGAUCAGCCACACUGGAACUGAGACACGGUCCAGACUCCUACGGGAGGCAGCAGUGGGGAAUAUUGGACAAUGGGCGCAAGCCUGAUCCAGCCAUACCGCGUGGGUGAAGAAGGCCUUCGGGUUGUAAAGCCCUUUUGUUGGGAAAGAAAAGCAGCAGGUUAAUACCCCGCUGUUCUGACGGUACCCAAAGAAUAAGCACCGGCUAACUUCGUG